rnacentral:rRNA from 1 species
ACCCUUUAAUGUUUGAUGUUCUAACGUGGACCCGUGAUCCGGGUUGCGGACAGUGUCUGGUGGGUAGUUUGACUGGGGCGGUCUCCUCCUAAAGAGUAACGGAGGAGCACGAAGGUUGGCUAAUCCUGGUCGGACAUCAGGAGGUUAGUGCAAUGGCAUAAGCCAGCUUGACUGCGAGCGUGACGGCGCGAGCAGGUGCGAAAGCAGGUCAUAGUGAUCCGGUGGUUCUGAAUGGAAGGGCCAUCGCUCAACGGAUAAAAGGUACUCCGGGGAUAACAGGCUGAUACCGCCCAAGAGUUCAUAUCGACGGCGGUGUUUGGCACCUCGAUGUCGGCUCAUCACAUCCUGGGGCUGAAGUAGGUCCCAAGGGUAUGGCUGUUCGCCAUUUAAAGUGGUACGCGAGCUGGGUUUAGAACGUCGUGAGACAGUUCGGUCCCUAUCUGCCGUGGGCGCUGGAGAACUGAGGGGGGCUGCUCCUAGUACGAGAGGACCGGAGUGGACGCAUCACUGGUGUUCGGGUUGUCAUGCCAAUGGCACUGCCCGGUAGCUAAAUGCGGAAGAGAUAAGUGCUGAAAGCAUCUAAGCACGAAACUUGCCCCGAGAUGA